UUGAAUACUAUUCCAUUGGACUGAUGGACCACAGUUUACUUAUGCGUCCACCUACUGAAGGAUUCCUUGGUUGCUUUCUAAUUUUGGCAAUUAUGAACAAAGCUGCUAUAAAUGUGUGCAGGUUUUUGUGUGGACUUUUUCAACUCACGUGGGAAAACACAACUACUGGAUUGUAUAAUACGAAUGAGGACCCUGAAUUCAAAUACCUCUCAGAUGAAGACCCGGAUUGACCACACUCAGUUCAGAUUAUUUAUUUAUUUGAGAGAGAGAGAGCAUGAGCAAGAGGAGGG